UGCGAGGGGGGCGAGCGUUGUUCGGAAUUAUUGGGCGUAAAGCGCACGUAGGCGGCUUUGCAAGUCCCAUGUGAAAUCCCACGGCUCAACCGUGGAAGUGCAUGGGAAACUGCAGAGCUUGAGUACUUAAGAGGAUCGCGGAAUUCCCGGUGUAGAGGUGAAAUUCGUAGAUAUCGGGAGGAACACCAGUGGCGAAGGCGGCGAUCUGGGAAGAUACUGACGCUGAGGUGCGAAAGCGUGGGGAGCAAACAGG
rnacentral:rRNA from 1 species